rnacentral:rRNA from 1 species
GAUCAUGGCUCAGGAUGAACGCUAGCUACAGGCUUAACACAUGCAAGUCGAGGGGCAUCAGUUUGGUUUGCUUGCAAACCAAAGCUGGCGACCGGCGCACGGGUGAGUAACACGUAUCCAACCUGCCUCAUACUCGGGGAUAGCCUUUCGAAAGAAAGAUUAAUAUCCGAUAGCAUAUAUUUCCCGCAUGGGUUUUAUAUUAAAGAAAUUCGGUAUGAGAUGGGGGAUGCGUUCCAUUUAGUUUGGGG